CAGAAUAUAGCAUAUAAUAAUGCCUCCUACUUACUCUAGGAUAAUGACAACUCUAUUCUGA
rnacentral:tRNA from 1 species